rnacentral:lncRNA from 1 species
GGCCUCCAUCUUGAAAACGGAAAAUAAAAACAGCAGACCUAUGAAGGUCAAAGGGGAAGUUAAGAAAAGCUGUAUCGAUUGUUGAGAUCUGGCGACUUGCUUAAAUUUCAUCAGCCUCACUUCUAUGGACUCUCAGGCCUCACGUGUACCAGCUCUCUGCUCUCCUUUGCCUUGGGACGUUCCAUCCCUGGAAGUUUCCCUGCCCACAUCUUUGUAGAGAGUCCAUUCUCCAAGCUUCAGUGUGUCAUCUGUUAGGACUAUGACCCACCUGGUACAUUACCUCAGGGCAUUCAUUUCAGGCUCCUUCUAAGUGGUCAAGGAUCUUGGAAGCAGAGGGAUCUACAGAAGUGCUUGCAACAGUUUCAGCCUCAUCCAGCAUCAGAGACAAAAAUCUUUUCUGGAAUGAGGUAAACCUCAGGUUCUCCUCCUGCCUUUUGCUAAGUAUAUGUCUUGAUGACAAGCCUUCUGCUAAUGAGCUGUGUUUCUGGACCGAUCAUGGUAGAAGUCAAUUGAAGUGUCCCUCACUUGGGGUUUCUUAAGG